rnacentral:rRNA from 1 species
UACGUAGGGUGCGAGCGUUGUCCGGAAUCAUUGGGCGUAAAGAGCGUGUAGGCGGUUUGGUAGGUCCGUUGUGAAAACUCGAGGCUCAACCUCGAGACGCCGAUGGAAACCAUCAGACUAGAGUCCGGAAGAGGAGAGUGGAAUUCCUGGUGUAGCGGUGAAAUGCGCAGAUAUCAGGAAGAACACCCGUGGCUAAGGCGGCUCUCUAGUACGGUACUGACGCUGAGACGCGAAAGCUAGGGGAGCAAACAGG